UAUAUAUAUAUAUAUAUAUAAAAAAGUGUAUUUUAGAGUUUUAGAAGAAAAUAAGGGUUAUAUGCUCAGAUUUGAGCAGUAAACUGUUUAAAGGAGAGUGAUAUAAUCCCAGUAAAGUUGCAGUUCAGAGAAAUAAAUAUAUUAUACAUUCUUUCAAAAUGUAAUCCAGGCAACACCCACCCUAUAAGAUAAAAGCGUUGCUCUGGUUAUGGAUGCAUGGACAUACAGGAGGAGUUCCAUGAUCCAGGCUGAAAAUGCCUCACAUGUCCAGAGUUGUGGAGUUUCAUAAAUGGCAAGCUGUCAUACAGUUAGGAAUAUCAGUAAUAAUGCUGGAUUGCAAAGGAUGAACUGAAACAUCAGCUAUAGAGUAGUCAUCAGGAAAAUCACUUUGCUCUCAACAGCAAGUGUCAAAAGCAGAGAUAAUUUGAAAAGAGUUCAGUAUAGAGGUAGUACAAAAAUGACUGAGGCAAAAAUCUUUGUUCUUAUUAUCUCUGCAAAACAAGCAAACAAACAAAACCCUGAUAAACCAAAAUAAAAUAAUAAUAAUAAUAAUAAAAACCUCACAAAAUAGCAUGAUUAAAAAUACAGGGUAACAGACUUUAGGGACUCAAGAAAGAGGCUCUUGGGAAUCAUGCAGGCAGCUCACCUCUUCUGUGGACUGCAGAGUACAGUUAAACAUGGCAUGGAAAAUAAGGGAAAAACAAGAUUCUCCGAGCCAUAGACACACCCGCAAUAGCAACAAUGAUGUUACUAUCUCAGAGGAAAUCAACAUUUAUAUAUAUUCUCUAGAGGACUCCUGAUCUUUCAUCUCCAGUAAAUUAUGGGAGUAGUGGGAAUGAAAGAGCUGCUUUACCACCAUUCACCAAUGUACAACUUUUUAUAAGGUAAAAUGAUGUAUCAGGCAACUGAAACAAAGUAAGAUGUGAAUGGAAUCAAGUGAAACAUUUCUUUACAUCUGUCUCAUUUUUUUCUUCUUAAAACUGGCAACAACUACUACUACAACAACAAAUCAGAAUGCAGUUGAUAUUACUGAGUGUUGUGGAAUUUUGAAUGCAGAGCAUAAUGAAGAAGAUUGGAGCCAUAUCUAUGCAAAAAAUGCCAGAAAUGAAAAAGUCUUCCAAAUAAGAGUCCUAAAAGAUAUCUUUGCUAUACAGUCAUGAAAUAUACUCUCAAAUUUUAAGAUAUACCACAUACAUCUGUUACAUACUGUGAAGUCUGUAGUCUCAGUCAGUGCAAGCAAAUCCUGAGUUAGCCUUAGUCUCAUAUAUACUUCAUCAUCUUUAUAUCUCUGCUGUAAUAUUUCUGGGCCAGAUUAUCAUAUUGUUUAUAUUCGAUCAAUCAAAUAAUGCCAAAAUCUUAAAAUUAGUGGGAAAGAGAAUAAUCAGCCUCCUCUGAUCAUAUUUUUCCUAUUUAACAUCAAGGUUAAAUUUCAAAUAGAUUCAGAGUACUUAUCCAGAUACUUUUAUCUCUUUAGUGUUUUUUAACAUUAUAAUUCUCUAGUAGCAGGAUGGUUUUUCUGUUCUGCCCUUUUCAACUCCAGAGAAAGCCUUCUCUCUAAUAAUUCUCAGUACUUGUUCAAGAACAAAUGUUCACCCUUGCCACUUCUCACCACUGAACUGUGCUUGCAGCUGUUGCCAGUUUUGUAUCUCCUUCAGGUUCACAUAUGAAAUGCUGUAGUCAAACUGUAGUUCUUAUGUUUCAGGAGGGUGAUUUGUGAACUGUUUUGACUGGGUUGGAAAAAGCUGUCUUCAAAUAGUUUUUAAUAUUUUCUUCAGUUUUCUAAUGAUACUUUCCUUAUGAGAGUAAGUUCAGCUUUCCUUGCUGUUGAAGUUAAUGGCAACAAUUUCACUGACUUUGUGACUCAACAUUCACAUUAAUUUUUAUGGCAUUUUUCAAUAGCAACAUCCAAUGUACUUAAAAAAAAAAAAAAAAAAAAAAAGAAGGUUGACAGCGUGUACAUAACUGCAUAACUGUUCAAAACUUAACCCAGAGAAGUCUGUGAAGAGUCACAAGCUGUGCUGGUAAAUGAUGAGUUUCAAGUUUGUUUGUUUUUUUUUUUUUUAAAUUAUUAUUUUUGGGGGGGGAGGAGGGUGCAACUGUCCAUAAAGAUUCUAUGAAGUAGCAAUGCAUCAUAUACUCCCUCAAAGAGUAGGAUUAAUCUUGCUUAGUUUUAUCCAUACAGAAAUCAUAUUGAUUUUAUUUCCCAUUAGAAAUGUAUCCCUAUUUACUAUUUUUGUAACUUCAUUUCCUCUCUUCUUCAACUUGAAGAUUCUCCUGACUCCCAGUUUUUUAUCCUGAUGUUGCACAAAGAACUUAGAUAUGGCAUGGAAUGUCUUUUGUUAAAUACUUGCUGUCAUUGUCCUCCCUCAAAUGCCUAAGUUGCUACUUUAGGUGGCUGUGGGGAGGUAAGGUAUUAUUCACUUAUGUAAUAAACUACAGAUGUAACACACAGCCAGAUUGGAUGUAGCCAUCAGGAUUUCACUUAACAAAAACAGUGAACACUUUUUUGGAAUCAUAGAAUCAUGGAAUGGUUUGGGUUGGAGGGACCAUUUAAGAUCAUCUAGUUUCAACCCCCCUGCUAUAGGCAGGGACACCUCCCACUCAACCAGGUUGCUCAAAACCUCAUCCAGCCCAGCCCUGAACACCUCCAGGAAGGGGGCAUCCACAACCUCUCUGGGCAACCUGUUCCAGUGUCUCACCAUCCUCACAGUAAAGAAUUUCUUCCUGAUAAUAUCUAGUCUAAAUCUACCCUCUUCCAGUUUAAAACCAUUUCCCCUUAUCGUGUUGCUACAUGACCGAAUAAAGAAGUCCCUUCCCAGCUUUCCUGUAGGCUUCCUUCAAGUACUGGAAGGCCACUAUAAUGUCUCCCCAGAACCUUCUCUUCUCCAGGCUGAAGAGCCCCAGCUCUCAGUCUGUCUUCAUAUGGGAGCUGCUCCAGCCCUCUGAUCAUUUUUGUGGCCCUCCUCUGGACCUGUUCCAACAGCUCCAUGUCCUUCUUGUGUUGAGGGCCCCAGAAACAGACACAGUACUCCAGAUGGGUUCUCACGAAAGCAGAGUAGAGAGGUAGAAUCACCUUACUCUAUCUGCUGGUCACACUUCUCUUGAUGCAACCCAAGAUACAGUUGACUAGAUUAACUUGCUGCAAUGUAUACUGACAAUUUUGUCUUUAACAAAAUUCAAUCAAGGCAAUUUUUGUUAGUUUCUCUAUAGAUGACUAUUUUUUUACUCCUACUGAGGAAUAUAAAGGGAUUUUGAGAAAAUACUUAUUAUCAGAAAAGACAUCAAUUUUAACAAGGCUCUCUUGUUUAUUUGGGGGGGGGGGGGGGGGGGGGGGAGAGGGGUAGGCACUUUUCUGAUGUUUGUGCAUACAUAUUUAAAGCAUUUGCAUGUAUAGGCAUCUUUUAAAUCACAAUUUGCAUAAGUAUUGCUAUAUAAUUUCAACAUCAUUUGCAUGUUAUUAUUUUACAAUUCAUUUUUUUUCUCUGUCAUCUACCUCUCAAUUACAGUUUGGAGACUUGCAUGACCCUGAAAGAAUACAGCUAACAAAAAGCAUAGUGUUUAAACUUGCACAGAUUAUUAGACAGUCUCCAAAAUAUUUGAAAUAGUUCAAAGUAAUAUUUUAAAGCACUGCAUACUGAUGACUGUAUUCUUUUUAUCAAUAUUAGUAAAUCUGAAGAGUUAAGCCAUACUGGUAUAUUUUUUUGCAUCACUGAACUGGUGUAAAAAAAAAUCGAUGUGUCAUUUAAGUAUCCAAAGUCUACUGCCCUUUCUGUGAGAUGCUGCCUUUUUGUAUUUCCUUCUAUUUCUGAAUUAAAGGAAGAAACUAAAUGGAAACAGUAGGACAGUAGUACAUACAAGGUGUUACAAAAAAGUGUUGCAGAAUAUUUUACAUUCUUCAUCCCGAGAGAGAGGGAGAGAAAGCAAGGAAGGAAGGAAGGAAGGAAGGAAGGAAAUACAGAAUUAAAUACAAAAUUUUAGCUUUCUUUCUCUUUUGUGUGGACAGCUGGGGAAGCUGGUCACAAAAUACUCCAUUGGGAACAAGAAAUAGUGAUUGCUGGUCUUGAAAAAAAAAAAAAAGAAUUGUUUCAUCAAAUAUACUCUUCAGUUUAGUCUACAAACCAUUCUUGCCUUCUAGAACAGCCCACAAAGUCCACUGAAGUCAACAUAAACAAACAGUCAGACAAGCUUUAUCAGACUUUGAAAGUGUUGUGGCUUCAGUGGAGGCUUCAGCCUUACUUUCUCCAUAUCAAAUCUCAGGAAUGUCAGAUAUAACGCAACAAAUGCAGAAUUUAUUGCAACUGGCAAAGUUAGUUAUGCCUACAUAAUAUGCAUAAUGAAUCAGUCCCUAAAUUAACGCACAAUAUGUAUUAUUUUAGUCUAUGUAAAUAAGGAAAAACAAAAAGCAAAAACAAACAAACAAAAAACCUUCUGAAUGUAAAUUAUAAAUAGUGAGGAUAUAUUUAAAAAAAUAUCCAAACAAAUCUGUUUAACUCUGAAAGAAAAUAUCUCUAUCCUUUCAAGCCUUCUAGCAGUUUAUAAUCUUCAUUUUUAUUAUUUUCUUAGAAAGUGAUCUGUGUCUUUUGGAAGUGUAUAUAUGAAUAAAUAUAUAAGGGAAUAUAUAUCUGUAUGUGUGUAUGUGUGUAUAUAUGUAUUCCCCUAUAUAUAAAACUCUAAUUUAUAUAUAUUAUAUAUAUUUAUGUAUAUAUAAAAUAUAUAUAAUGUUUUAGAGUAUGUUGCAUAUUGUGCCUAAUAAGUGACACACACUUGUAAGCAGAUAAAAGAUUUCAGCAAAUGAUAGAACAAUGUAAAGAUUUUUUACAAUGGUAAAGUAUUAUUUUUCAGUUUAUGAUGGUUUUAUUUACAUCAGAAAUUCAUUCAGAAAACUUCAUUAUUUCACAACACUGAUAUUUCAAGCAUGACUCAACUAAAAGUUGACCUAAUUUCACUGAGAAUUUUCAUUGUUAGGCUGGAACUCCUCCACUGAGGGUGGAGUGGUUGGUUGUUUUUGUUCUGAAAACAUUAUCUGUGUGAUCUCUGAACAGACUGUGAAAUGUAGGCUGAUUUUUGAACACUGUAGUAUGUAUGUCAAAAUCAUAUGAGAUAUUUAUAGACAAGAUAUUCUUGUAAAAACUAUGGAAAAUGAGGAAACUGAAGGCUCUGCAAACUAUUCCAAUUAAAUUAUUGUGGGGAACUCUCCAGAACAUUAAAUUAUAAUAAUGGUGGCAAUUUUUAAUACAUUUUCCACAUACUGUUUUUAUUCUGUCUGCAGGUAGGCAAGUCUGUGAAAUGCCUACAUUUGUCUCUGACUCUUAAGAAGUAUUACCUUAUUUUAUUUUUUAAGAAUUUUUUCAGAGUGGUACAUAAAGCACUUACGUAAAUACCCUUCCUGAUCUGUGACACAGAUGUAUUUUCCAAUUCUGGCUUACUUGGAAAGUUGACCAUGUCUGCAGUCUACCAAUAGAACUUGGUAUUCCUAUGCAAUAAUUCAACAUGUAGUUGCCACUGUUGCUGGCUAAUAUUUUUUUUCAUCAUUUUUGUAUUAUGCAAUACUGUAUGGUUUUUACUUGAAUAUAUUGGCUAAACUUUUGUUUUGUUUUGACAAUCAAUUAUUAGCUAGUGGUGCUAUUUAUGUUCCAAAGAGAUUUGGGUGGAUGAUAACAUUUUCUUUCUAGAUGCCAAAUGCUUUUUUGACCUGACAAAAAUCAUUGUUCAUAGUGUAUAUUAAUCCUGUAAAAAUGCUUAUGCACUGCAUUACACUGUCUUUAAAUGCAUUUCUGCUCAUUAACUUCUAUUCCAGGACUGUACUAGUGUCUAAUAUGUCCAGUUUGUCCAUACACAUUUAUGGAAAAUUACAAAGAAAAAUAUGUAUGAUUAACAAUCAAAAAAAAAAAAAAAAAAAGAAAAGAAAAAAAAAGAAAGAAAUAAAAUUUCCAUGUAAAGUUUCUGGAAGUUUGUAAAUACUUUUUAAAAUUUUCAUUAUUUAGUUGAAAAUUAUUUUUAAUUUUAAAGUGCACAGAUAUUCAUAGAUACAUGCGUAGAUUAACUAUUCAGAUUUAGCUAAGACCUCAAAAUCUUGUAUACCUGUGUAUAGAUACAGAACUGAAAGGUUUCCAGUGCAGAAAAAAUAGUACUAGCAGUAAAUGUACUACCAGCCCUUUGUUAUCCCUAACCACAACAUAAUUAUAACUAAUUUUCAUAAAUUACUAAAAAAAAAAAAAAAUCUGGACACCCAGAACUUUUGUCAAUUAUUCUGAUUGGGAAAUUUUUCUGUAUUCCAUGUACAUGCACAAUCAUUCAUUUAUUACUAAUACUCAUUUUUGUAUAGGAGAGGAAUAUGUCCAUAUAAAUUGAAAUAGUGGUUAUAGAUAACUCUAUUCAUUCACUUCUUUCUAAGUGUUUCCGGAUCCAACUUAUUUGUCCCUUAGCUUAGGGCAACAGUCGCUAGCCUCAGUUAAAUUCUUUUUUAUUUAUGUAAUUUGAUUGGGUGUUUUAAAUUAGAGACAAUUGAUUAACAUCCUUUGCAUGCUAUCUACGUGCUUUUUAUAAACAAGCACAGCAAGCUAGUAGGAAACGAAGGUGUACCAUUUCUUAAUUGAACUGCUGAAUACAAAACAUAACUCCUAUGAAAACAAAUGACAUUUAUUUUCAGAUUUCUAAUAACUGCAAUAUUUAUUUUCAAGUAAUGUUAUCAGUAAUUUUCUUGAUAUGGAAAUGUUGAUUCAGCUAUAUUUAGAUUCUGUUUAGAUUCUAGCCCAUUGUAAUAUUUGCAUAUUUGAAUAUAUGUAAUAUUCAUAAAUAAUCUAUUUUGAGGCAUAGACCAAACAAAGAUUAAAAUUAAAUUUAAAAAUAUAUAGUGGUAAAACUGUUCUUUGUACAAUGAACUGGUGCCAAUACUGCUCUUUCCAGUUUGUUUUUGAUGUUUAUGAUAUUUAACUUUGAUCAAUGACAUUGAUGUUAUCUCUUGCAUGGAAAACAUAUGUUGCCCCCUUGAAUGUAAAUGCCAUGUUAAAACUUUUCUCAGUUAAGGAUAGAAGUAAAUGCUAAUGGAU
rnacentral:lncRNA from 1 species